GUGCGAGGUCAGGCCAUGAACUUGGGAGAUGGUUUAAAGCUUGAAACUGAAUUACUGGAUGGAAAAACCAAGCUAAUAUUGUCUCCAUAUGAACAUAAAUCAAAAAUUUCUGUGAAGAUGGGAAAUAAGGCCAAGAUUGCAAAAUGUCCUUUAAGAACAAAAACUGGGCACAUUCUAAAAUCAACACAGGAUACUUGUAUUGGGAGUGAAAAACUUUUGCAAAAGAAGCCAGUUGGUUCAGAAACAUCACAGGCAAAAGGUGAAAAAAAUGGAAUGACUUUUUCAUCCACUAAGGAUUUAUGUAAACAAUGUAUAGAUAAAGACUGUCUUCAUAUCCAGAAAGAGAUUUCACCUGCAACCCCUAAUAUGCAGAAGACUAGAAACACCAUAAAUACAUCUCUAGUAGGUAAACAGAAGCCUCACAAAAAACACAUCACAGCUGAAAACAUGAAGAGCAGUUUGGUGUGUCUAACACAAGACCAACUACAACAGAUUUUGAUGACUGUAAACCAAGGAAAUAGAUCUCUUUCCCUGACUGAGAAUGGAAAGGAGGCAAAAAGUCAAUAUAGUCUACAUUUAAACAGUAUUUCUAAUCAGCCAAAGGAUGAGAACAUUAUGGGAUUAUUCAAAAAAACUGAAAUGGUUUCAUCUGUCCCAGCUGAAAAUAAAUCUGUCUUAAAUGAACAUCAGGAGACAUCUAAACAGUGUGAGCAAAAAAUUGCCAUAGAGAAUGAAUGGAAACCAGCUGAUAUAUUCAGUACUCUGGGGGAAAGGGAACGUGAUAGAAGUUCGUCGGAAGCAAAAAAAGCCCAGUGGAGGAAAGAGCUAGUUUUGCAGACUGUACAAGCAUGGUACCAGCAUCUGCUCGGCUUCUGGUGAGGCCUCAGGAAGCUUUUACUCAUGGUGGAAGGCAAAGGGGGAGCAGGCAUUUUACAUGGCAAGAGAGAUGCCAGGCUCUUUUACACAACCAGCUCUCAUGUGAACUGACAGAGGGAGAACUCAAGCAUCAUCCCAAGGGGAUGGCACCAAGCCAUUCAUGAGGGAUUCAUCUCCUGUGACCCAAACACCUCCCCUUAGGCCCCACCUCCAACACUGGGGAAUCACAUUUCAACAUGAGAUUUGAAGGGGACAAAUAUCCAAACUGUAUCAUCAAGGUAAAAGAAGAAUGAAGAGAUUAAACUUAUGUUAGCAGUAUCAGAAGGUUUGGCAGUCUUGAUGUGUGUUUAUAUCACAAUUUCAUCUUUAAAUAUUUUAUUUCAGCACAUUCCACAUCAAAAUGCAAUACCAAAUGUCUGAAAUAAUAUGGAACUACUUGGAAAUGACCAGAAUAUUUUGUGCUUUCAUCAUUUUUGUUGUUGUUGUUGUUUUGAGACGGAGUUUCAUUCUUGUUGCCCAAGCUGGAGUGCAAUGGCGCCAUCUCAGCUCACUGCAACCUCUGCUUGCUGGGUUCAAGUGAUUCUCCUGCCUCAGCCUCCUGAGUAGCUGGGAUUACAGGCACCUGCCACCAUGCCCAACUUACUUUUUGUAUCUUUAGUAGAGACAGGGUUUCACCAUGUUGGCCAGGCUGGUCUCAAACUCCUAACCUCAGGUGAUCCGCCUGCCUUGGCCUCCCAAAGUGCUGGGAUUACAGUUGUGAGCCACCACACCUGGCCUUAUGCUUUAAUUAUUUUAAAAAUCAGUUUACUGUUUUUUUAACUUGUCUCAGUAAAGCGCCUCUAUUUAAGUCAUGCUUCCAGUAACAUUCUUGGAAUUUAAAUUUAUACAACAUUGAAUUUUGUAUUUAAAGAACUACUGUUGAUUGGGGGGUUAGUUUUGACUAUAUCUCUCAGACACAGGGUUUUAUGUUUUUUACUUGUCAGCAAUUAAGAAAUAAUAGCUAACAUUCAUUGAAUAUUUACUUUGUGCCAAGCCCUAUAUUGAGAUAGGCACUAUUAUUAUCCCCAUUUUAUAGAAGAAACCAAGGCUUAGAAAGCUUACCAGCAGUUGGCCAGCUGUGGUGGGCUCAUGCCUGUAAUCCUACCACGUUGGGAGGCCGAGGCAGGUGGAUCACAAGGUCAGGAAAUAGAGACCAUCCUAGCCAACAUGGUGAAACCCCAUCUCCACUAAAAUACAAAAAUUAGCCGGGCGUGGUGGUGCUGCCUGUAGCCCCAGCUACUCAGGAGGCUGAGGCAGGGGAAUCGCUUGAACC
rnacentral:sRNA from 1 species